CUCAUCGUCCAAAAGUAGAGGCCUUCAGUUUGCUCCGGAGAAGUGAUCUAGUUUGAGGGCACCUAGCGCCGAACUGAAGUGGACUCAACCUGCCCCGGAGCUGAAUUGUCAUCUUCUCCAGGACAGGGCUCCUUCUUUGUGUUGUUUCCUGCUGCGCCCCUGUACCUGCAACAGCACCCACCGUGGAGGAGACAGUCGAUAAGAUUAUUUUUUAAUGUAGAAUAGACUUUAGUCUCUAAGUUUACCGCAACUCUGAACUCUACAAGCAUCAUACUUUCCUGAGAAUAAUCAGCAAACCAGCCUCCUUCAAUGACAGCAUAUGAAAGGAGCGGGAAAGGGCAUUUUCUCCGAUCCGCUCCUUUUGAAAACACCAAACCCUCCCAUUCUUACAAGGGUCAAUUAAAGAUAUUUAAUAUAUUCGUACCCAGAAAUGAAUUGUUUGGAACUCAACAGCCUAUUACUGACAAUUGGACAAGUGUCUUUUUGAACUCGGUGCAAAUAACGUGUAUCACAAAGGAGAUGAAUUAGAUGAAUAAAAAUGUCAAUAUACUGAGGACAGAAAAUACCUACCUGAGUGACUGAAAAUCGCAGAGGGUAGAAGUAGGUAGAGACAGAAAUUCAGAUGCCCUAGCUGAAAAUUUCACGUUCCACUACUAGGUUGCUUUCUUCUUUAUGCAAAUUCUUUGCAACAGAGUUAGGAGUCAUUUCCUGUGGUUGUGAAUGGAGGGAAUGACAAGAGAUGAACCUCUUGAGAUGGUAGCCUGACAGACUUCAAAUCAAGGAGCAUCUCUUUCUUAGCAAGCAUGAAGAUUAAACGGACUAAUGAAUCAAUGCUUUAGACCAUCCACUCCUGGGAGAACAUAUCACAGUCCCAUCAACAGUGGUCAGGUCAGGGGACAUUCGUUCUUGUCAACUGGAAAGUCUUCUAUCGUUGUGUUGAAAGCCUUGUUUCUCUCUGGGAAAUUACUUUAUUUAAUGGAGAUGGAUACCACUCUACAUAAUGAAAGAUCUUCACAAGGAUCGGAGAGGUACUUCAGCAAUCUUUUAACCCCUUGGUUUUAGAUUUUCUAUGAAUGCACAGAUGAAAGAAUCGAUAGAUAUCUCAGGCCAAAGAGAAAUGACAGACGGAAAUGAUGUGAGUAGAAGUUUUGAUGGGGAGACAGAGUUGAACUCUGCUGGACAAGUACUUGCCUGUGUCCCAGAGGUAUCAUAAUCUGACGCCAUGUUGAGUGUGGCAUUUCCCUGCCAUCUGCCCAGAUACUCACCAGGAUCACCUGCCAGGUUCAUCACAAAGCUUUUAUAUGGCUAACUCACAAUAAAAUAUUGAUACAGAGAAAUGGACA
rnacentral:lncRNA from 1 species